rnacentral:rRNA from 1 species
UGGAGAGUUUGAUCCUGGCUCAGAUUGAACGCUGGCGGCAUGCCUAACACAUGCAAGUCGAACGGCAGCACGGGUGCUUGCACCUGGUGGCGAGUGGCGGACGGGUGAGUAAUGCGUAGGAAUCUGCCCAAUAGUKKGGGACAACCCAGGGAAACUUGSGCUAAUACCGGAUACGUCCUGAGGGAGAAAGCGGGGGAUCUUCGGACCUCGUGCUAUUGGAGGGGCCUACGUUCGAUUAGCUAGUUGGCRGGGUAAGGGCCUACCAAGGCGACGAUCGAUAGCUGGUCUGAGAGGACGAUCAGCCACACUGGGACUGAGACACGGCCCAGACUCCUACGGGAGGCAGCAGUGGGGAAUUUUUCRCAAUGGGGGCAACCCUGACGAAGCAAUGCCGCGUGARUGAAGAAGGCCUUCGGGUUGUAAAGYUCUUUCGUGGGAGACGAAAAGGUAAUCGCUAAUAUCGGUUACUGUUGACGUGAACCCAAGAAGAAGCACCGGCUAACUCCGUGCCAGCAGCCGCGGUA